GAAUGCAAUAGCAAUAUCAUUGCCAAACUCAUCAAGCGCCUUGUCCAUAAUCUCCAAAGGAGAAGAGUUCUCAAGAUCCUUGGCCAACUGCUCAUAGUCCUCCACCUUUAUUUUCUCCGCCACCUCAGGCUCAACGAUAGUUGCCGCGAGAGGGACGAUGGAGUCAUUCCGUUUGGACUUCACCGAGAACCGCCGUUGAGAGAGGUUCACGGUCGCCGGGCGAUCCAACAAACGCAAAAAACCAAUUUGAGGAGCUUUGAGCUCAGAUGAGCGCGAAUAACGGGUAGCAGAGAUUGCAGUUGCAGAAGAAGAAGAAUAAACUACGCUGAAAGCCAUUAAAGAAUAUUGAGAAUUUUAUUUCUGUGUAUAACUAGAAAUGAAAUUUGAUUUCCCUUUCUCUCUGUCGUGUGUUGCUUUUGAAUCAUGCA
rnacentral:misc_RNA from 1 species